ACCGAUAGUGAACCAGUACCGUGAGGGAAAGGCGAAAAGAACCCCGGCGAGGGGAGUGAAAUAGAACCUGAAACCGUGUACGUACAAGCAGUGGGAGCCUUGAUUUAUCAGGGUGACUGCGUACCUUUUGUAUAAUGGGUCAGCGACUUAUAUUCUGUAGCAAGGUUAACCGUAUAGGGGAGCCGUAGGGAAACCGAGUCUUAACUGGGCGAAUGAGUUGCAGGGUAUAGACCCGAAACCCGGUGAUCUAGCCAUGGGCAGGUUGAAGGUUGGGUAACACUAACUGGAGGACCGAACCGACUAAUGUUGAAAAAUUAGCGGAUGAC
rnacentral:rRNA from 1 species